ACAUGGAUGAAAAAUAAAAACAAAAUAUUACAACAAGGACAAAAAUUAUAAAAUAAAAAACUUCAUCUUCAUUCAUUAAUUAACCAUUGUAGGGACAAAAGUCAUAAAUUAUCCUUGUUAGAGGGACGAAAACCAAAAAAAUUACAGAAUCAUUAAAAUGACAUUCAAUACCACUGGUAAGCAAUGAACAAACUCCGUGAAACAAUCAACAAAAAAUUAAAUAAGUUAUUUUUU
rnacentral:lncRNA from 1 species